CCUACGUGAGGCAGCAGUGAGGAAUAUUGGUCAAUGGUCGGGAGACUGAACCAGCCAAGCCGCGUGAGGGAGGAAGGUACAGAGUAUCGUAAACCUCUUUUGUCAGGGAACAAAGACUGGGACGCGUCCCCGGAUGAGUGUACCUGAAGAAAAAGCAUCGGCUAACUCCGUGCCAGCAGCCGCGGUAAUACGGAGGAUGCGAGGUUUAUCCGGAUUUAUUGGGGUUAAAGGGUGCGCAGGCGGUCUGUUAAGUUAGCGGUCAAAGCCCGGGGCUCAACCCCGCCCCGCCGUUGAAACUGGCAGUCUCGAGUUGGAGAGAAGUAUGCGGAAUGCGCGGUGUAGCGGUGAAAUGCAUAGAUAUCGCGCAGAACUCCGAUUGCGAAGGCAGCAUGCCGGCUCCACACUGACGCUGAGGCUCGAAAGCGUGGGGAGCAAACAGGAUUAGAUACCCUGGUAGUC
rnacentral:rRNA from 1 species